GCAACCAAGAACACUCCACCAUUGAAAGACAUGAGCGCUAGCAUCACCAAGAAUGAGAGACCAACCCUCAGAAGGUGUAUAACUGUCUGAACCAAACCGGCCACAAAAUGGUUCGAACCGGGUUUAACGAACCAUGUGCUAGAGAGCAAUUCAACUAGGAAGGACAUGACAAAGAUAAAUACCAAGGCUAAGACAUACAUACCAGUUUUAUCACCAGGCCAGUGAUUAAAAAGAAUCUCUGAAUCCUUCCCCCAGAAGAAGGUCAUGUGCAUGAAAUGCUUCUUCAUAUGUGGCAUGGCCAUGUUCCCAUUCGCGGAUGGCUCCAUACCAUGCAUCCCUCCCAUAUCAUGCAUGUGUCCAUCCAUCAAGAAUUAUGGUGUUUUGCUAAUCGUUCGUUAAUUACAGUCUUGGUUUAUGUAAUGAAAUAAUUGGAGAUUAUAGUAUGAAAAUGUGUACUGUGAUGAUAGAGUGCAGCAGUGGUGAAAUCCGAAAAUGUGUAUUUAGGGUAUUGUAGUGGAAUAAUAUUGCAAUUAAGAUGGUGCAUUUAUGGAAUUGGUUGAUGUAUGCGGUGAAAGCGUAGUGGCCACAAGAUAAGAAGAUAGUUGUGUACAGUGCGACUCAGUCCACACAAUUGAUGCUAAUAUCGGUGAGAAUCUCACGCCUUUCCUUAUCUGUUAAUUGUGCUCAUAUAUACGCAUAAUUUUGGUAACAAAAUCAGAUCAAUAUAUUAAUUACUAAUGCAAUUUAUUUAUGACAAAAAACGUAACCAUUGACGUUUAAGAGUUUUACCGUUUAUAUUUUAUCAUUCGUUAUCAAAUUCUUCAAAACAUAAUAUAAAUAAAUUAUAGAUAAUAUAUUAAAUGUAUAUAAAUAUUUAUUAUGAUAAUAUAUAUAUUAUACUUUUUAUUUUUUUAAGAAUAUAAUAUAUACAUAUAAUCAAUAUAUCAUCUAAAAUAUAUUCAAAAGUAAAAAUAAUUACAUGAAUCCUAAGUGAUAAUGAUCAAUGAUUUAAUUUAUAGUCCAUUUAUAUUUUUGGGUCGAUUGAUCCUCCUAUCAGUGGCUGUAGAGUGUAGACUACCAUGAGUAUUAAAAAAACUGUGUAACACGUAAGUACAUCAGUUAUGCUUUUGUUUAAUUUCAAGUCCUAUCCUGAAAUCUAUUUGGGCCAUUGCAUAUAUAUAGUGUAUAUACACACACAUAUAUACAUAUAUGUAUGUAUAUAUAUCUGUGUAAGUGAUGAGUAUGUUCUCAUAGACCAUAGCUCUUUACAAGCAAUCAAUAAUAAUAAUCAUUAACACUAUAGGAAAUGUAAAAUAAUUCAACCCAAAAUCAUAAAUUAACUUUUCUUUAGGUUUCUUUUUGACAAACUUAUGAUAGAACACCAAAGAAGAAAGUAUCUAAUACAUUAUUCAACUCCCAUAUAAUUUGGUGGAUGAGGUAAAAACAAGUGAUACAAAAUUUUUUUGUAUUGAUACAGGAAAAAGGUUCCGCAAUUUCACUUUUUGUAUCGGAAACGAGUUGAAUGAGAACUCAGUUUAGUAAAACUCAACUCAAGUUUAAUAACAAUUAAUUUUUAACUCAAAUAAGUGUUCCUUCAAUUCAAAUUGAUUCGACAUUACAUGCAAAUUUGUUGGUUUGUCUGUUUUUUCUAGCCAAUCUACCCAUCAAACCUGCGAGGGCUUAAUGUUAUUUAAAAGUAAAAUAAAAUUCAAAUAAACUAUAAUAUAACGUGAUUUAACAACUUGAAAUUUUGAUGAUAGCUAGAUUUGUUCACUUCAUAUCACAUAUCAACAUUUUUUUAAUUCUCUUUCUUAAACUUCUUUGCCUAAGGCAGUAGAAUUUGCCAAAAAAUGAUUAACGGACCAAUACUCACUAUUGAUUUGUGGGCACGAACUAAUAAACGUGUAGCUUGACCCAUUUUGAUAUACGUACUAAUCUGAACCAUCUUAUUAUUUUAAACAGAAGGAGGCAAAAAUUUCAUAACGUUUAUAUGCUUUCUAGGACUGAAGACAAGCUUUGAUUUAAAGAUGAGAAGAAAAAUCAUUGCAAAUGUAACAGUUUUUUUGUUUUUGUUUUUAGUAUAACAUACAUUCAUCACUCAUAUUUAAUACAUACAAGAAUCAUUUGAAUGAUAUAAUCAACAUAUGAAAAACUUUACACUUGCAUAGAUAUUAGGAUAGUUUGAAAUAAUUCUUACUAACAUAAGACUAAUUAAAACACCGAAACUAAUUAACAAUGCAUUGGAGGAAGAUCAAAAUCCUUAUUGUUUUCCUUUUUCUUGAAAGCAUUACUACGAAAGAUAAAGAACCCCAAAGCAUGACCAACCACAGCAACCAAGAACACUCCACCGUUGAAAGACAUGAGCGCUAGCAUCACCAAGAAUGAGAGACCAACCCUCAGAAGGUGUAUAACUGUCUGAACCAGACCGGCCGCAAAAUGGUUCGAACCGGGUUUAACGAAUCGCGUGCUAGAGAGUAAUUCAACUAGGAAUGACAUUACAAAUACAAACACCAACGCCAAUACGUACAUACCAGUUUUAUCACCAGGCCACUGAUCGAAGAGAAUCUCUGAAUCCUUCCCCCAGAAAAAGGUCAUGUGCAUGAAAUGCUUCUUCUUAUGUGGCAUGGACAUGUUUCCAUUCGUGGAUGGCUCCAUCCCAUGCAUGUGCCCAUCCAUCAAGAAUUAAGGGUGUUUUGCUAAGCGUUCGUUAAUUACAGCCUUGGUUUUUAUAGUGAAGUAAUUGGAGAAUGUACUAUAUAUGAAAAUGUGUACUAUGAUAUAGUGCAGCAGUGGCGAAUUAUGGAAAUUUGUAUAUAGGGUAUUGUACUGCAGUAAUAUUGCAAUUAAGAUGCUGCAUUUAUGGAAUUGGUUGAUGAAUCAUGAAUGUGGCCACAAGCUAAGGAGAUAGUUGUGUUCUUGUGGAGUGUGUGACUUAGUCCACACAAGUGUGCGGAAUAUCUGUGCGAAUCUCACGCCUUUCCUUAUCUGCUGUGGUGAUGCGCAUAAUUUUGAUAACAAAAUCAUUUCGAUAAAUUAAUUACUGAUAUAAUUAUAUGUAGAACACAUAAAAUCAUAGUUUUUUAAAUUGUUCUCUUAUACUUUUUUUUAUUUACAUUUACAUAGUACAUCAGUGUAAAACUGUUGUCCAAACAAAAUAGACAGCAAUUUUGUUUUUGAAUUUAUUCUUUACCUUUAAAAUAUGGUGUUUAAAUUGCCUAUUAAACAAUGACAUAUUUAUAUUUGACCACCGUUUUUGUGUGGGUAGCAUUUUAUGUAAAACUGUUCUCCUAGCUUUUAAAGUCUUUUAUUGAUAAAAUUACUUCAUUACACAAAAUUGUUCCCCUAUAUCUUUAUAUUAAAGAUCUGAAGGGGCAAUUACAUUUUAAAGUCUUUUGAAGCAAAUAAGAGUUUCUUCUCUUCCCUUAAUAUUCUUGUGUCAUCUUCUGGCUAUUAUUGCCUCACGACGUCACUCCCAUUAAUCAUUACCAUACAAAUUCACUUCAUCCUCAUUAAUCAUUGUUGUAGAUUUGUAGUUGUAACUGAAGAUAUGAAUAUAUUUAUUUCAAUUGUAUGUUUAGUAUGAGUUACAAUUUGAGCUAUAUUUUUGUUAGUUGUAUUCAUAUCUUCACAUAUUAAACACAAAUACAGUUCAAAUUGUAAUCGACACUCAACAUACUUGCAUAUAAAUAAUUAUAAUCAAUAACUCUCAAUUGUAAUAUAUCCACCAUUAACUCAUACUAAACAUACUUUAAUUCCAUUUAUACUAAACAUACUUUCAUUUAAUUAUAUUUCAGUAUAUUAAAGCUAUACGUAUUAAACAUUCAAUAAUUGAGAUGCUAAACAUAUAUUUUAGUUAAUCUAUAUAUUUAAAAUAUUAUAAUCUAAAAAUAUUUAAAAUAUUUUAAAGUAUUAUAAAAACAUUAUAUUUUAUAUAUUAAAAAUAUUAUAAAAACCAUUAUAUGUCAUAUAUUUAAAAUAUUAUUUGAAGUACAAUAGAUUAAUCUAAACAUUAAAAUAUUUAUAUAUAAAAUCCAUUAUAUUUGUCAUUUAAUCAUAUAUAUUAAAUAUUUUAGUAUGUUUAGUGUAUUAAUUCAUUGAAUGGGUCAAAUGAUUUUAUAUGCCAAUGAAACAAUUAUUUCAUAUGUUUUUGAGCUAUUUUUGAAAUAGCUCUGAAAAAUAUGAUAAAUUAUUACACUGGUAGAUAUGAAUGAACUGAAGACUUAGAUGAUCAAUUUAAGUAUAAUAACUCAAAAAGGUAAAUCCAUACUAGAUUACCAGUCGGAUCACUAACGGCCGACUUUCGUUCCUGCUCGACGGGUAGGUCUUGCAAUCAAGCUCCCUUCUAUCCUUUCACUUGAGAGCUAAUCUCUUACUUAAACAUCUUUGCCCAAGGCAGUAGAAUUUGUCCAAAAUUCAUAAACUGACCAACUCUCACUAUUGAUCUGUGGGCAGAACUAACUAGUAAACAUGUUGGGUGACUGUACUGAUCCAUACCAUCUUAUUUUGAACUCAAGGAGCCAACAUUUCAUAUCCUUUAUAUGCUAUCUAGGGCUGAAGAUAAGCAUUGAAUUAAAGAUGAGAAAUUUUUUUAUUGAAAAUGUAUUAGUUUUUUUAUAUUUUUAGUACAAUAUUCAUCAUUCAUGUCUAAUACACAAAUAAAUAAUUUGAAUAGUAUGAUGAGUAUAUGAAAAACUUUACACUAUCUUAGAUAUUAUUGUAGUUUGAAAUACAUCUUAUUAGCAUAAGACUAAUUAAAACACCGAAACUGAUUAACAAUGCAUGGGCGGAAGAUCAACAUCGUUAUUGUAUUCUUUUUUCUUGAAAGCAUUGCUACCAAAGAUAAAGAACCCUAAAGCAUGACCAACCACAGCAACCAAGAACACUCCACCAUUGAAAGACAUGAGCGCUAGCAUCACCAAGAAUGAGAGACCAACCCUCAGAAGGUGUAUAACUGUCUGAACCAGACCGGCCACAAAAUGGUUCGAACCGGAUUUAAUAAAGCGCGUGCUAGAGAGCAAUUCAACUAGGAAGGACAUUACGAAGACAAACACCAAGGCCAAGACAUACAUGCCAGUUUUAUCACCAGGCCACUGAUCGAAAAGAAUCUCUGAAUCCUUCCCCCAGAAGAAGGUCAUGUGCAUGAAAUGCUUCUUCAUAUGUGGCAUGGCCAUGUUCCCAUUCGCGGAUGGCUCCAUCCCAUGCAU
rnacentral:lncRNA from 1 species